UAGGGUUUUUCUUUCAUCGUCUUUCUCCGGUACGAACUUUAUCUCAUCACCAACUUCAACAAUCUUCGUUUGCGCUUCAAAUUGUAUUAUUUCAUUUUUGUUUUCUUGUUUAGGGUUUUCUUACACCGGGUUUCACUGAUAACUCGUUUUUCUUUUCAGUUUGUGGGUUUUAUUUUCCUAUAUAUUUUCCCGCGAAAUUAAUAGGGCAUUCAUGGGCAUAUACACUGUUUUGCCCAAAAUUACGUGAAAUGAGCAUGUUGAACUUUUAUUUCACUUUGGUUUUAUUCAUUAAUUCAUUUUAAUCAUGGUUCAAUAUCGUAUUUGGUAUUUCUUUUAUAAUUUUCGUGUAAUUGUAUAUAUUCUGACUGUUUUCAUCUGUUUAAUUUCUCAGAGAACUUUCGAUAUAAAAUACUUGUAAUUUGAGGCCAGGAAAAUAGAAUUGAAAUAAUAUUUAGUAAUCACUUCAUAAACAUUACAAAACCAGGGAUAAUAUGGAAAACAAAUUCAUUGUUAAGUAUCAUAAGUGUUUUAACUGUUUAGCUUUAUUUUUUGGUUCUAUUAAGACUUGUUUUGUGUUGUCAGUAGGUAAUUGAUAUUUGGAAAAAUGGGUG
rnacentral:misc_RNA from 1 species